rnacentral:rRNA from 1 species
UCCUACGGGAGGCAGCAGUGAGGAAUAUUGGUCAAUGGUCGGGAGACUGAACCAGCCAAGCCGCAUGAGGGAUGAAGGUACAGAGUAUCGUAAACCUCUUUUGUCAGGGAACAAAGGCGGGGACGUGUCCCCGGAUGAGUGUACCUGAAGAAAAAGCAUCGGCUAACUCCGUGCCAGCAGCCGCGGUAAUACGGAGGAUGCGAGCGUUAUCCGGAUUUAUUGGGUUUAAAGGGUGCGCAGGCGGUCUGUUUAGUCAGCGGUCAAAGCCCGGGGCUCAACCCCGGCCCGCCGUUGAAACUGGCAGU